rnacentral:rRNA from 1 species
UACGUAGGUGGCGAGCGUUGUCCGGAUUUACUGGGCGUAAAGAGCGCGCAGGCGGUCGUUCAAGUCGCGUGUGAAAGCCCCGGGCUCAACCCGGGAAGUGCACUCGAUACUGCGUAGCUUGAGUAUCGGAGAGGUUGGUGGAAUUCUCGGUGUAGAGGUGAAAUUCGUAGAUAUCGAGAGGAACACCGGUGGCGAAGGCGGCCAACUGGACGAAUACUGACGCUGAGACACGAAAGCGUGGGGAGCAAACAGG